CACGUUUUUACCUGAACUCGUUAAUUCGUUGCACGGUGCCCCCUAAACUCAAUUUUCCGGCAAUUUUGACCGGAAUAUUAAAACAUGUGCUUUGCACGUGAGAUUUACAUGGGUAAAUUCGUCAAUCCACUUAGUGCUAUAUAUUAAAUAUAAAUAAAUCAUUAAAAAAAAAAAAGAAAAAAAAAAAGAAAAAAAGCACAGAACAUCAUCAUCUCCUCUCUUCUUCGUCCUCUGCCAUUCUUUUAUUUUUCUGAACAAAUUUUCUCCAAUAUUCAUUAAUGGAGAAAACGUGUAUACAUACUAAAUCCCAAAUCAAAAGAUUGAAUAUGGAAUUUGGCCCCUUCUUCUUCUCUCUCUCUCUCUCUCUCUCUCCUCGUCUCCACCACCACCCCAUUUUCACAUUUCCUCGACCGAUCCUCCUCCUUCAUCACAGUCCUUCAAUUUCUGCCCGGUAUUAAAAAUUUCGCAACCAAACUAAAAAAAAUGGUGAUAAAAAAAUCAAACAAGCUUUCCCAAGCAGCGGUGUUGAACCAAAUCAUGAAGAGAUGUUCUAACUUGGACAAAUCGACAUUUGUUUAUGGGUUUUCUGUGAGUUUUCUUCAAGUAAUGAGAAAACCCACAUCAAUAAUCUACCUUUUUGUUGGUUUUGUUUGAUUUCAAUAUUUGAUACGAAACUUUGGGUCUCUCUCCAGAUCUAAUCCGGUAAAUUUGAUCUGAUUCUUCGUAACACCCUUGAAAGGAGGAGGAUUGGUGGUCGUCGGAAAAUUUUUGAAUUUUUUUAAAUUAUUGUUUGAGGUUUUUUUUGUGCAGACAUGGUUGGGUUUUGGAAGGAAGAUGGGUGAUGGUUUGGUGGGUUUUGGGGAAGGAGGUGGGUGAUGUGGUCUGAUGGAUGACAGCUUGUUUUCCUUUAUUUUCUUUUUUUCUUUUUUCGUUUUUUUCCUUUUCUUUUUUUUGUCUUUCUUUCCUUUUUUUUUUUUUUUUUU
rnacentral:lncRNA from 1 species